AUGACUUAUCUGGUGGUCCCCAUUAGUGACUCGUGGCUCACGGUGGCUGAGCUGCGCCCCACGGCUGGGAAGCUUCAGCACCGCAUUGAGCCCUGGCAGGGCAGGUGGCUCUCGAAUGCUGCCCGGACGGUGCUCAUUAACUCAUCCCUCUCCAAUCUACUCCUCUUCAUCAUGAGCUUUUAUGGCUUUCCAGAGACCCUGCAUGAUGAGAUUGCCACUGUCCAGGGACGCUUCUCCUGGGCCGGCGAGGGCGGCAAGCAGAAGUACCACAUGGUUCGGUGGUCGGAGAUUUGUAAACCGCGUGACUAGGGCAGCCUUGGGAUCAUGUCCUCCAAGCGCAUGAACAUAGCCCUCCUGAGUAGGUGGUUGUGGCAGAUUGCUAACGGAGAGUGUGGCCUGUGGCUUCGCCUCAUUCAGCAAAAUUACCUCUGUGGCCAGCCUCUCGCCUUCUGCCAGCGGUCUGGGGGCUCCCAGUUCUGGCAAUCCAUCAUCCAACUCCUCCCUGUCCUCCGCAUUGGGACCUCAAUCUCGGUUGGAUUGGGCACCACCACGUUGUUCUGGUUCGAUAGAUGGGCUCGAGACAUGCCCCUCGUGGCCUGCUUCCCUGACUUGUUCUCCAUCACGGUUGAUCCGCCGAUUUCGGUCGCUGUCGUGGAAUUGUCACGGCAGAUGUCCUUAGUGUCAGGACUUAGUCACGAGGCCAACGCAUCUAUGCAGUAG
rnacentral:rRNA from 1 species